AUGUCGCCUGGAGCCAUCACAGGCCCACAGAGAUGGCUGCAGAUGCGGACAGCUGUCCUAGCCUCAGGAAGCCAGCAGAGAACCUCAGCCUCUGUCCAGAAACCCACCAUCUACCCUUUGAGGUCCUGCUGUGACGAGCCCAAGGCAGUGGGCUGCCUGGUCAAAGGCUACUUCCCGGAACCGGUGACCGUGACUUGGGACACAAACUCGCAGAAUGUGACCGUCUUUGAAUUCCCCACCGUCAACUUCAACUCCAGCUUCCUGGUCACCACCAGCCAGGUGCUAGUCUCAGGAUCCAGCCUCAAGCAGUUCACCUGCAGGGUGACCCACACCCCGACUUUAUUCAACGAAACAAAGCUAAUCAAUGUUUGCUCCUCCAGUGUUAGCCGGCUCACUGUGAAGCUCCUCCACUCCUCCUGCAACCAGAACAAGUUCCAGCCCACCAUCCAGCUCCACUGCCUCAUUUCCCACUACACCCCAGGUGACCUUGAAGUCACUUGGCUGAGGGAUGGGCAGCAGAUUGGCAACAAGUUCACAGAGAGCAAUGCACUCAAGCAGGAUGGCAGGCUGGCCUCCACUCAAAGAGACCUCAACAUCACCCAGAGUGACUGGGCAUCUGAGAGCACUUUCACCUGCCAGGUCUCCUCCCAAGGCCAGACCGUCAAGGCCCACACCCGGAAGUGCACAGAUGAGGAUGAGCCACGAGGUGUGCGUGCCUACCUGAUCCCACCCAGCCCUGUGGACCUGUACAUUGGCCCCAAGCCCAAGCUCACCUGCCUGGUGGUGGACCUGGAGAACAAAAAAGGAGUCACUGUGACGUGGACCCGGGAGAGUGGGCGGCCUGUGAAACCUGAUGACUGGACCGCCAAGACACACGAGAACACCACGGUCAGCAUCAAGUCUACCCUGCCCGUGCUUGCCCAGGACUGGAUUGAAGGCGAGAGGUACACGUGCAGUGUGAACCACCCUGAUCUGCCCAAGCCGAUCGUGCGGUACAUCAGCAAGGCUACCGGCACACGCGUAAGUCCCAAAGUGUACGUGUUCCAGCUGCCAGAGAAGGGUCUGGAGAGCCAGGACAUGUUCUUCCUCACCUGUCUGGCUCAGAACUUCUUCCCCAAGGACAUCUCGGUUCUGUGGCUUCGCAACGGAAAGGAUGUGACCAAAAACCAGUACAGCACGACACCCCCCACCAAGAUCAACAGCUCCCCUCCCUCCUUCUUCAUCGUCAGCCGCCUGCAGGUCACCCAGGAUGACUGGACACGGGGCCACCAAUUCACCUGCCGUGUGGUCCAUGAGGCACUACCCUACCCUAGGUUCACAGACGAAACUGUGUCCAAGAGUUCCGAGCUGGACCUCCAGGACCUGUGCACAGACGAGACAGAGAGCCAGGAGCUGGAGGGGCUAUGGACCAGCACCUACACUUUCAUCUCCCUCUUCCUGCUCAGCGUGAGCUAUAGUGCCACUGUCACUGUUCUCAAGGUGAAGUGGGUCUUCACUGCCAUGGUGCAGAGAACACCCCAGACAUUCCAUGACUACACCAAUGUCCUGCAGCCAAGAGCCUAGGAUGGUCGCAGUACCUACGCAUGCGCCAGGGUCCAGAAGGUUCCAGCUCAGCUCGAGGGUCAGGCUCCAGGGGCUAUCACUCACACUCACCCCCUCUGAGAAAGCCCUGUCCCUCGAGGAGAGUGGGCAUCACCAGAUCCAUGGGCACUGAGGCAAUUCCCUGAAGAUGUGGACUGAACAACCACAAAAACACGUGAGUGCCUGAAGCACAUGGCCUAGCCACCACCACUACCCAGAGUCCAGCCAGCCAACAAGCAGUGCCUGAUUCCAGACACAGUGUGGCCUCUUCUGCCCUAAAUACCCCAGCCUGAGGACACAGACACCUCCUCCAAGGGUGAGGCUGCAGGACUGCUCAGAUCCUAGGCUGGUGGGGCGUCUGUAGCAAUGGAGAAGGAGCCUCAAGUGGAGACAAAGCCUCACUGACCUCCAUGUGGCCCAGCCAUCCUGUUCCCAUCUCUGUUUCUU